rnacentral:lncRNA from 1 species
AAUAAUUCCCAUAAUUAACAUUGAAUUCAACUCCAAUUUAGAGAAGAACCCCAAAAUACCCUUGGUGGUGUCUCUUCUCAGUCAGCAGCAACUGGUUGUGUGAAGAGACGCAGAGCGCCAACCAUUGCAGAUAAGCACAUCCCCACCAAACAACCACGUGUCAUCCACCUGAUUCUCCAUCCUCUCUGGAUUUUCUUCCACAAUUUCCAUAUCAUUCCAUUCACGCGUUUCACACACACACAAANNNNN